UUUCGUUCAUUUUUGUGCGUUAGAUCUUUGUUAGAAUCGUGCGCGAGUGAUAAGUGAAUCAAGUGUUGUUCGUACUAAAAUAAGAAUCGCGUGAUAGAAGCAGUGUUUGUUCGCAAUAUUUCUUUAUUUAUUUUUAUUUAUUAUUAUUAUUUUUUUUUUAUUUAAUAAUUUCGAUCAUUCGUAAUAUAUAAAUUCGCGAAGUGUAGAGUCAGUGUUACGUUCCUGGGGUAGGAUACUCAUCGUGCGGAGUUCUACGAGAAUUUUGAAAAAUCACUACAAGUGCAUGCGCGAAGUGAUAAGUGAAUCAAGUGUUGUUCGUAUUAAAAUAAAAAUCGCGUGAUAGAAGCAGUGUUUGUUCGCAAUAUUUCUUUAUUUAUUUUUAUUUAUUAUUAUUUUUUUUUAAUUUAGUAAUUUCGAUCAGUGUAAUAUAUAAAUUCGCGAAGUGUAAAAUCAGUGUUAUGUUCCUGGUGCAGAAUCGUGCGCGAAGUAAAUGAAUCGUGUGUUGUAUCGUUCAAAUAAAAAAAUAAUAGAAAAAAAAGAUCGCGUAGUAGAAGCAGUGUUUGUUCGCAAUAUUUCUUUAUAUAUUUCUUUAUUUAUUGAUUUUUUAAUUUAAUAAUUUCGAUCAGUGUAACAUAUAAAUUCGCGAAGUGUAAAAUCAGUGUUACGUUCCUGGGGUAGGAUACUCGUCGUGCAGAGUUCUACGAGAUUUUUGAAAAAUCAUUGCACAAGUGCGCGCGCGAAAUAAACGAAUCGUGUGUUGUAUCGUUUAAAUAAAAAAAUAAUAAUACAAAAAAAAAAAAAAA